rnacentral:lncRNA from 10 species
UGGGUGACAGAGCGAGACUCCGUCUCAAAAAAAUAAAAAUAAAAAUAAAAAAGAAUUUGGAAUCAGAAACACAGUGACUCACUUGUAGAGUUUCAAACAUAACAUAAACGAGGCAGGAAUGCUUUCCCCUUAGUGUUCUAAUUUUAAAGCAUUUAGCAGGAACUUGUGCACAGUAAUAUUUGACUUCAUGGGCAGUUUCUUGAAUCCUGUUCUGCAAAGAGGUGGCAUGCAUCCAGAUGUGGCCCCUAAACAAUCCCUGCUGCCCAGCAUACAACCCACACAAAUAUACGACAAGAAAACAAAACCUUAGACCAAUAUCCCUGAAAAUAUUGGUGAAAAAGUCCUCAACAUAAUAUUAGGGGGCCCACACCCCAUCUCCAAUCCAGGCCCCAGUGGAGCUUCUUCCCAAGUUCAUGUCACUAGGUCACGGGCAAUGGAAUGUAAGUGAGAUAAGAGGGACUGAGGGACCGCAUGGGUGAGUGAGCAAAUAUGUCAGGCAGGAUGCUUCAGACUCAAAGACUUGCAACUCCAAAGAAUGACAUUUUGUUAUUGUAGGUAACUCCUCUGGUAUGAGCAGAGCAGGGCAGGGCAGGAGAGGGCUCCCCCUCCCCAUACACACACAUCAGGAAUGUCAGGCAACUAUCAGAUGAUGGUCAGGUGGUUGUUAAACAUGUAAAAUAAUAGUCACAGCUGGCACCAGGGAAAGGCAGGCUCCUCACACACAGAAAACACCUGAAACUGGUGAUCUGCUGCUUCCCAUGAGAUCUCAGGAGUUGGGCGAGUGGACUCAAGCACGCACAUGCGGACAGCCCACCCCAAGGGAAGAAUCAGGGAAGCAAGACCCCGGAAGUAUACCAAUGUAUAAAACCCCAAGUCAAAAGGUCGAAGUGCACACUUGCCUUUCAAGUCACCCACUUGGCACUUGGCCGUCUUCCAACUGUACUUUCCUUCCUUUCAUUUCUGCUCUAAAGCUUUUUUUCUUUUCUUUUCUUUUCUUUUUUUUUUUUUUUUUUUUUGAGACAAGGCCUUGCUGUGUCACUCAGGCUGGAGUGCGAUGACAUCAUCUUGGCUCACUGCCAACCUCCACAUCCUGGGCUCAAAAGAUUCUCCUGCCUCAGCCUCCCAAGUAGCUGGGAUUACAGCCAUGCACCACCACACCCGGCUAAUUUUUAUCUUUUUUGUAGAGAUGGGGUUUUGCCAUGUUGCCCAGGCUGGUUUUGAACUGCUGGACUCAAGUGAUACGCCCAUCUCAGCCUACCAAAGCAUUGAGAUUACAGGUGUGAGCCACUGCGCCUGGCCAUUUCUGCUCUAAAACUUUUUAUUCAUUCAUUCAUUCAUUCAUUCAUUCAUUUAUUUUUGAGACGGAGUUUUGCUCUUGUUGCCUAGGCUGGAGUGAAAUGGCGCCAUCUCGGCUCACUACAACCUCCGCCUCCCACGUUCAAGCGAUUCUUCUGUCUCAGCCUCAGGUCAGGCUGAUCUCGAACUCGAGACCUCAAGUGAUCUGCCGCCUCAGGUCAGGCUGGUCUCGGACUCUCGACCUCACAUGAUCUGCCGCCUUGGCCUCCCAAAGUGCUAGGAUUAUAGGCAUGAGACACCGCGCCCGGCCCUGCUCUAAAACUUUUUAAUAAACUUUUGCUUUCAUUCCUGCUCUAAAACUUGCCUCAGUCUCUCCUUCUGCCCUAUGCCCCUCAGUUGAAUUUUUUCUUCUGAGGAGGCAAGAAUUGAGGUUGGUGCAGACCUGUACGGAUAGGGAUUCACCACCUGUAACAAUUUCAGAAAUAAGAGAAAUAAAAAUCAACCGAUACUAUUACUUUACCUGAGUAAGAGCCAUCCCUGUUUCCUUUUCUUCCUCUUCUAGGCAUCUUCCUUGGGUAACAUGAAAAAGCCUUUACAAGUCGAUCCUGAAUGUCUAAAAUAUGCCAUUUAAUGACUGGAAUCAACACCCUCAUUUUUGUGCCUCAAACACCCAUUCAGGGAAGCCCUCACUGUGGAAAGCCAGUUCUCUGGGAGUCAUUGCACCAGAUGGAACACAGGGACGACAGGCUCCUACAGGAAGACCAACAGGCUGGAGUGCAGUGGCGCGAUCUCCGAUGACUGCAACCUCCCUCUCUCGGGAUCAAGCGAUUUGCCUGCCUCACCCUCAGAGUAGCUGAGAUUACAGGCGUGCAGCACCACAUCCGGCUAAUUUUUAGUAGAGACGGGGGUUUCACCAUGUUGGGCACGCUGGUCUCGAACUCCUGACCUCAAAUGAUCCACCCGCCUCGGCCUCCCAAAGUGCUGGGAUUACAGGCGUGAGCCACCGCGCCUGGAUCCUUCUUUCGCUCUUCCCGUCUCUGCGAAUCCCGACCCAUCCUCUACUUUGCCAUGUGUUUAUGGGUUUCCUUCAUUCUUUCCUCUCAGUUUUUGUAAUUCACUCUCAGCCCCUCUCUGUUUCCUGAUCCCUUUGGCCCACACAUUCACAGGAGGGUUUGGAGUAAGACACCUGGAUCCUGGAGGAGCACAUUUUCCAGCGGGUGGAGCUGGGCAGGCAAGAACACCGGGUGUCACAGGACAGGCCCCGGGCACCUCCCCAACGCGGGCGCAGGGGAAGCGGUGACUGCGAAGGGGAGGACGCGGUCUGCGGCGCUGCGCUCCAGGGCCGACGACGGAGAGGCUGGGAGGCGCUCAGGACGGGAAUCCACCUCGCAGGUGAGGACUUUAAAAAGCGCGGGGCGGGAGGAGGGGUCAGGAAAGGGUUUUAUGCGGGAAGAAGACGCGAAUGGCAGGGGACAGGGACUGGUCUCAGAGCGAGUUUUACCCACAUGGCGAGGUCCGUAUUUACCUCGGGUGAAGGGCGCGAUGCGGGGAUUUUAAGGUCAGCAGAGCGGGUGUGGAAAAGCGGGACGGCGAAUCGAAGGCUUAAUCUACACCUAGGCACACUCUUGCUCGGCGGUGUCACCUUCACACACCGCGAUCCGCUUCCGGGACUCCAAGAAACUGCACGUGCGCGCAGAGCCCGGGUAGCCUGGGGCGGAGCCCGGGGAGAGGCGGGGUCUGCAGAGGGACCGCGGGGGCGGGGCCUGUGCAGUUGUAAGGGGAAGAGUCAAGUCUGUGCUUCCAGAGACUUUUAUAGGACAACACCUGGACCGUGGGCUGUGGACCGUGGAAGGCUAAAACCCGCAGUAAGCCAGAUCACCAACUGCUGCUUUAAAACACGCAAUAACUUUUAAAAAAAAAUAGAUAUGAAUUGUAUUGUUCUUCCUUAUACUUGUUAUUCGGUUCCACGGUUGACAAAACCUCAAAUAACUUUGAGAUAAACUUUUUUUUUUUUUUUUUGAGAUGGAGUCUCGCUCUGUCCCCCAGGCUCCUGGAAUACAAUGGCGCGAUCUCGGUUCACUGCAACCUCUGCCUCCCAAGCUCAAGCGAUUCUCCUGCCUCAGCCUCUGGACUAGCUGGGAUUACAGGCGCGUGCCACCACGCC